rnacentral:sRNA from 1 species
AUCGCGCCCGGAAGGCGCCGGAGCCCAGCGGCUGGCGCCAGAUCCAGGCUCCUGGAAGAACCAUGUCCGGCAGCUACUGGUCAUGCCAGGCACACACUGCUGCCCAAGAGGAGCUGCUGUUUGAAUUAUCUGUGAAUGUUGGGAAGAGGAAUGCCAGAGCUGCCGGCUGAAAAUUACCCAACCAAGAGAAAUCUGCAGGAUGGACUUUCUGGUCCUCUUCUUGUUCUACCUGGCUUCGGUGCUGAUGGGUCUUGUUCUUAUCUGCGUCUGCUCGAAAACCCAUAGCUUGAAAGGCCUGGCCAGGGGAGGAGCACAGGUAAGGAUGAUCCUUGGAUGGCACUGGAAUUUGAAUACUGUGUUAGUCUAAGAGACUCACAGGUUUUGCUACAGGACAAAAAAGAGAUGCCAGGCCGGGUGCAGUGCCUCACACCUGUAAUCCCGCUACUCAGGAAGCUGAGGCAGGAGGAUCCCUUGAGCCAGGAUUCUGAAGUUGCCGUGAGCUAUGAUCACGCCACUGCACUCCAGCCUGGACUACAGAGUGAGACCCU